UACGUAGGGUGCAAGCGUUGUCCGGAAUUAUUGGGCGUAAAGAGCUCGUAGGCGGUUCGUCGCGUCGGCUGUGAAAACCUGAGGCUCAACCUCAGGCCUGCAGUCGAUACGGGCGGACUUGAGUACUGCAAGGGGAGACGUGGAAUUCCUGGUGUAGCGGUGGAAAUGCGGCAGAUAUCAGGAGGAACACCGGUGGCGAAGGCGGGUCUCUGGGCAGUAACUGACGCUGGAGGAGCGAAAAGCCGUGGGGAGCGAAACAGGA
rnacentral:rRNA from 1 species